rnacentral:rRNA from 1 species
UUGUCUCAAAGAUUAAGCCAUGCAUGUCUCAGUACAAGCCGCAUUAAGGUGAAACCGCGAAAGGCUCAUUAAAUCAGUUAUGGUUCCUUAGAUCGUACCCACACUUACUUGGAUAACUGUGGUAAUUCUAGAGCUAAUACAUGCAAACAGAGCUCCGACCGGAGACGGGAGGAGUGCUUUUAUUAGAUCAAAACCAAUCGGCGGCGGGCGCGUCCGCGCGUCCGUUCGCCGCUCUACCUGGUGACUCUGAAUAACUUUACGCUGAUCGCACGGUCUCGCACCGGCGACGCAUCUUUCAAAUGUCUGCCUUAUCAACUGUCGAUGGUAGGUUCUGCGCCUACCAUGGUCGUAACGGGUAACGGGGAAUCAGGGUUCGAUUCCGGAGAGGGAGCCUGAGAAACGGCUACCACAUCCAAGGAAGGCAGCAGGCGCGCAAAUUACCCACUCCCGGCACGGGGAGGUAGUGACGAAAAAUAACGAUACGGGACUCAUCCGAGGCCCCGUAAUCGGAAUGAGUACACUUUAAAUCCUUUAACGAGGACCAAUUGGAGGGCAAGUCUGGUGCCAGCAGCCGCGGUAAUUCCAGCUCCAAUAGCGU